AUUGAACGCUGGCGGCAGGCCUAACACAUGCAAGUCGAACGGUAACGGGAAACAGCUUGCUGUUUCGCUGACGAGUGGCGGACGGGUGAGUAAUGUCUGGGAAACUGCCUGAUGGAGGGGGAUAACUACUGGAAACGGUAGCUAAUACCGCAUAACGUCGCAAGACCAAAGAGGGGGACCUUCGGGCCUCUUGCCAUCGGAUGUGCCCAGAUGGGAUUAGCUAGUAGGUGGGGUAACGGCUCACCUAGGCGACGAUCCCUUGCUGGUCUGAGAGGAUGAACAGCCACGCUGGAACCGGGACACGGUCCAGACUCCUACGGGAGGCAGCAGUGGGGAAUAUUGCACAAUGGGCGCAAGCCUGAUGCAGCCAUGCCGCGUGUAUGAAGAAGGCCUUCGGGUUGUAAAGUACUUUCAGCGGGGAGGAAGGGAGUAAAGUUAAUACCUUUGCUCAUUGACGUUACCCGCAGAAGAAGCACCGGCUAACUCCGUGCCAGCAGCCGCAGUAA
rnacentral:rRNA from 1 species